rnacentral:lncRNA from 10 species
UUUUAAUUGGUAUGUUGAUAUCUACUGGCGUACAUUUUGUGUAACAAUAGGCAAAUAUUAGGAUUGUUAAGAUGUUAGAGUAGGGAGAAGGAUGCAGGGAAUAGAGGACAGAGAUAAAUUUUACAGUUUGUGAAGAUAUGCGUGUUCACAUCUUGUUUUGUUUUUCCUUUACCCAAACAAAUAAAUAAGAAAAACUGCCCACUUUGCUCUCUUAUCUACCCUUCCUGUGUUCUCAUUGGGGCAGAGCUCUGCUGGGGAAGGAAGCGGCCACAACCCCAGGCAUUUACUACCUGUUCUCCCCACCUGCUAUUUGAGAGAAGUUUUCAAGCUGAAGUUCGUACAGCUGCAUUCACUUGGACAUGAAUAUCUGGGAGUUCACGGGUUUGUCUGCCCCUUUGGCCUGAGAGAGCUGGGCGGAAGCCUCCUUGACGUCUGUGUUGACUCUCUGUUUCUCUGGUUUUUCUCUGGCCCAGUUUCCUGUUCACCUCUGUCCUCUGCUGUCUGGUAGGCUUGACUCAUAGGAAACCACAGCCAAGUCACCUAGUGGUCUGAGUCACUGACCUUUGGAGCAUCUCUUUCUUAAAAAACAAUAAAGACAAAAGUAAGUGCCUAAGUAAGUACUGCAUUUUGCAAUAGAUUUCAGCUAAGUAUUGCACUGAACGGUUAGUUCUGGGAAGUCCCCACUUGUGACUUAUUUUUGGCAACUGUGCUAUAAGCAAAUCAUUUUAUCUCCUAGCAACCGACUUCCCUCUUCCCUCCCUCCCUCCCUCCUUUGUAUCCACAAGUGUUUGCUGAGAACCCUUUGUGUCCAGGCACUACAUUAGGUUCUGAGCACAAAAUGAAGACAUAGAAUGGUCCUCAACAAGCUGCUGAUGCCCAUAAGAAAGAGGCCUGCAAACAUGUGUAAACAAGUGUGACAAGUUCACCGGCAAGGGGCAGCACAGGGUGGCACUGAACUCAGCCUCGGUAUUGCCCUGACCACAUGGCUGCAUGUGAGCAUGCCAGGUGAGGUGAGCAGGAGAGAUGUUCUAGGCAGCGUUGGAUGAUUCUCUGUCACAUUCCUUUGUGGUCAACUGAAUUGCUCUCUUCAACUGCAGCUUUCACUGAGGCCACUUGAGGUUGCACAACUCCUUCCAGACACAGCCAUCUCUGAAACUGGGAGCCCAGUCAGCCCCCAAGCAAGUACAACCUGCAAGUAUGGAGAGGUAACGCCCUAGGAGCCAUCUCUAACCAGUGAAGAAUGAGAGCCAGUAAGCAAGUCUAGCCACUCCUCUUUUGGAGGGAACAUUCUAGAAGGCAUUCUGCACACUUGCCAAAGGUCACAGAAGAAUUGAGCCCCUGUUGCCCAAAGCAGCAACCUUAAUGAUGCACACUCAGUGGCUUUUCAUUCUUCCCUGUCUCACUCUCUCCCUUUUCUUUCACCUCUGCUUUUUGGGAUCUCCUCCCAAAUAAACCACCUGCACCAAGUCCUUGUGUCUAGUCUCAGGCUGUGAUUUUAAGGGAGCCCAAACUAAGAGAGCAAUAUUAUUAAAAUUAAAGUUUUGAAAUGAAAAGCAUUUGAAGGUCCACUAGCAGUCUCCUUAAAAUACCACCUACUACCUUUUGGUAUUACCAUUUAUACCUGAGCCAGAGGAAAGGAGAAUUCCAAAAAAGGCCUUAAAAACCCUCUGACCCACAGGAAAUAGCUGCCAUCUAGUCAGGCUGGGCAAAGGGCUUAGUAAUACAGAAAGUGAAAAGGGGCUCAUGGGGGCCUUAGCAGGGUGACUCAAUUUAGUGGGUGAGAAGGAAUUCUUGUUUAACUUAGGGGAAAACUACUGGGUAAUAUUCUUUUCCCUAGUCAUAAUGGUUACAUUAAAAAAAAAAAAAACCCACAUCGCUAGAAGGGCUAAUGGUUAAGAAAAGAUUGGGACAAUGAGGCUCUAUAUGAACUAAAACGCUUAUAUUGUUACAUUCAUAAAAGCAUGUUGAAUUAAGAAAAUAACAGGAAUUUUAUAGUUUGAAAAUGAAAAUAAAAGUUAAUAGACACAAGGCUUCAAGAUGGCUGACUAGAGGCAUCUGGUACUUGCUUCCUCUGCAAAGAACUGAAACAGUGAGUGGAUAAUCACACUUAGAAUAGAUCAUCUAAGAGGGAACACUGGAAUGCAACAGGAAAGCGAUAGGAAACACCUAAAGCAAGGAAGGAGAGGAAAGCAAGGCAGCCUGAUUGGCUAGGAGUAUGGAGAGGCUCUCCAAUGCAGGAAAAGGGUAAGUCAGAGACCCCCAGUGGUCUGCAUUCCCAACACAGACUCCUGCAAUCCUAGCCACGAAAGAACCUCUUGACCACCAAGGCUGAAGUGCAAGCUGCUGCACAUUUUCAUGAGCCCUGAGGAUAGACACUCCCACCUGCCACUGCCGCUUGGGGCUGAAAUACAUGCUCCCCAGCCACCUGCCUACUGCUUCUGCCACUCAAAGCAACCCUUCCCUCCCUAGGAGGGCUGCAGUGAAGCUGCUGCCACCUGCACUCAUGUAAGCAUUCCUCCAGAGCCUGAAAAUCACCCAACCCCUGCCUACCACAGCCAGCACCUGCAUGUGCAACCAGGUCCUCCUGGCCCAGCUUCACCCUCUCCAAUGCCCAAGCAUGCUUCCCGGGGGCCUGAGGAUUACCUAACCCCAUCCACCAUCAUUGAUACCUAAGCACUCCUCCAGAGGGCUUGAGGUUGAGCCCACCCAAUGUGUCACUACCACUACAGCUGGCACCUACCCACACAUGCCACAUAUGGGCCUGGGGACUGGCCCACCCAUCCUGUUGCAGCCACCCGCAAUACCAGUGCAGGCUGCUCAGGAGCCAGACAGUUGUUCCACCACUGAUACUGCCAUUGCCCAUGUCAUGCUUGCUGUUCAGGGUCUGAAGCCUACUCACCCAUCCACCAGGUCCAUGAUGGCAACUACUAGCACCUGAGCAAGUCCUCAAGGGGCCCAAGAAUUGACCCACCUGAACCUGUGAACACUGAUGCCAGUGUAUGCUGCCCUAGGGCCCAAGGACAGGAAUGCUCAGUUUGCCACUGCCAUUGCUGAAGCCCAUGGACUGAUUUACCUGGUGUUUCCAUCCUCAGCAAAACUUCACCACAGCCUCCAUUAACAACUGCACCCUAAGCCACAAAUACCACUGAAUGCUGUUUAUAGCCAAAUAAACCAUAUGAAGACCACACUAUUGCAGGCACUCAGAAUCAAAGCCAAAGUGCCCUACCCAGCUAAUACCAUAGACACACGUUCAGAAAAAAGUCCUCCCCUACAAAAGGAAAUACAAAAAGUUGGUAGAAGUAACUAUUACACCAGAUGCACAGAUAAUGUAAAGAACACAAGAGACAGAAAAAAGCAAGGAAAUAUGACACCUCCAAAUGAACACAAAAAUUCUCCAGCAGUAGAUUUCAAUGAAAAAAAU